UACAGAGGUGUCAAGCGUUGCUCGGUGUCACUGGGCUUAAAGGGCGCGUAGGCUGUGCAGUACGGCUCGGGUGAAAUCCCUCGGCCCAACCGAGGAACCGCCCGGGCGACGGCUGUGCUGGACUGCAUCAGGGGCGGAUGGAACUCCCGGUGGAGCGGUGAAAUGCUUAGAUAUCGUCAAGAACACCUAUAGCGAAGGCAGCUUACUAGGCUCUAACUGACACUGAGGCACGAAAGUGUGGGGAUCAAACAGG
rnacentral:rRNA from 1 species